rnacentral:rRNA from 1 species
ACUCCUGCGGGAGGCAGCAGUGGGGAAUUUUGGACAAUGGGCGAAAGCCUGAUCCAGCAAUGCCGCGUGAGUGAAGAAGGCCUUCGGGUUGUAAAGCUCUUUUGUCAGGGAAGAAACGGUGAAAGCUAAUAUCUUUUGCUAAUGACGGUACCUGAAGAAUAAGCACCGGCUAACUACGUGCCAGCAGCCGCGGUAAUACGUAGGGUGCAAGCGUUAAUCGGAAUUACUGGGCGUAAAGCGUGCGCAGGCGGUUUUGUAAGUCUGAUGUGAAAUCCCCGGGCUCAACCUGGGAAUUGCAUUGGAGACUGCAAGGCUAGAAUCUGGCAGAGGGGGGUAGAAUUCCACGUGUAGCAGUGAAAUGCGUAGAUAUGUGGAGGAACACCGAUGGCGAAGGCAGCCCCCUGGGUCAAGAUUGACGCUCAUGCACGAAAGCGUGGGGAGCAAACAGGAUUAGAAACCCCUGUAGUCCCAUGA